rnacentral:misc_RNA from 1 species
AAGAGUUGCAAAACUCCCACAUACCAUUGUGAACGUACCCCGUAUCGUUGCUUCGGCGGUUGGCCUCUGGGCCUCUGCUCCGCUUGCGGGGCGCCCGCCGGAGGACACCUUAACUAUUGUUUAUUACCGGUCUCUCUGAGUAACUUACAAAUAAGUCA